rnacentral:rRNA from 1 species
AGCGAACGCUGGCGGCAGGCCUAAUACAUGCAAGUCGAACGGAUCCUUCGGGAUUAGUGGCGGACGGGUGAGUAACACGUGGGAACGUGCCCUUUGGUUCGGAACAACUCAGGGAAACUUGAGCUAAUACCGGAUGUGCCCUUCGGGGGAAAGAUUUAUCGCCAUUGGAGCGGCCUGCGUCUGAUUAGCUAGUUGGUGGGGUAAAGGCCUACCAAGGCUACGAUCAGUAGCUGGUCUGAGAGGAUGAUCAGCCACACUGGGACUGAGACACGGCCCAGACUCCUACGGGAGGCAGCGGUAGGGAAUCUUGCGCAAUGGGCGAAAGCCUGACGCAGCCAUGCCGCGUGAAUGAUGAAGG